rnacentral:lncRNA from 1 species
GCGGCCGCGACCUAGGAAGCUCCUAAAAUGUCGACUUGAAGCUCGCCUUUCUGGAAUGGGAUCUGCGGGAACAGCAGUCGUAUAUUUUCCCUGCUGCUCAUGCCAACCUGAAAGCCUCCCGGGGACACAAGCAUGCGCCAGGGCUUGCCUGACCGUUGGCGCUCCCUCCUCCCAGACCCCAUUCCGAGACCGCUGUGAUGCGUGGCAGCAGCGGGGUGGUGCGGAUGGUGCGGGGCUGCGGCUCAGAGAGCUGGUUCUAUUCCAGGGUCACAGUACUCAUCACAGCAGUGAUCUAGGUGCAGCGAGGCGCGCGGGGACGGUCAUUCACGACAGAACGACAAGGGGACGAACACCUACAGCCCUAGGACCAGAUGACCCCACAAAGAACGCAGCUGGUGGCCACAGGUCCCGCCGACCCUCGAGGCCCCAAAACCUGCGACCUGUUUUAGGGACCGGUACCGGACCUAGAGAGCCAGCACCAGAGAGAGAGAGAAGGCCCAGACGUCAGGACUCGGCCGGUUUGAAUGCCUGAAUUUAAAAUUAGGCGGCUGAAAAUUGGGCGGAUAAACAGUGCUCCGCCGAUUAAGCUGGGAGACAUUGACUUUAUUCGAACCACAUGGUUCCAGUUUUGUGGCAGCAUUCUGGCUGCUCAGCCCGCCGCGCCUGCGGAGUUUGCACUGGAGCAUCAAAUCUGGCCUCAAACGUUCUCCUGCUUAGAGUGAGAGGUGGGCAAAGAGAUCUUUCUCUCAAGACUGUCUUUGGGCCGACAGGUUGCAGAGACCCUGCAGGGGCUUGAGUCUGCAGAGUGGACAGGGCCAGGGCAAUCCACACACUGGAUCUGGGGUUCAGAAAUAGGUGUGAGGUUGUGGGGGGGC